rnacentral:rRNA from 1 species
UACGGGGGGAGCAAGCGUUGUUCGGAUUUACUGGGCGUAAAGGGCGCGUAGGCGGCGUGACAAGUCACUUGUGAAAUCUCCGGGCUUAACUCGGAGCGGCCAAGUGAUACUGUCGUGCUAGAGUGCGGAAGGGGCUACUGGAAUUCUCGGUGUAGCGGUGAAAUGCGUAGAUAUCGAGAGGAACACCUGCGGCGAAGGCGGGUAGCGGGGCCGACACUGACGCUGAGGCGCGAAAGCUAGGGGAGCGAACGGG